UGAGGAACAUGACCUUCGGCGGGGGAUAGCCGGCCCAACGGCCGGGUAAUACCGCGUACGACCUUUUGGGGACAUCCCCGAUUGGUGAAAGCAGCAAUGCGCCGAAAGAGUGCCUCGCGGCCUAUCAGCUAGUUGGUGAGGUAACGGCUCACCAAGGCGACGACGGGUAGCUGGU
rnacentral:rRNA from 1 species